UUUUCGUGUCUGUGACAUUUGCAAAAGCAGUCAUAGAUUUGGCCACACAAGAACCUUAAUUUUUAAAAAGUAAAUAUUCUACACUCAAAAUUGUCUGGUAAUGAUUUGGUAAAAUUAGACAUAAAUAAUUGUAUAAAAAUUUCCCAGAGAUUGAGAUGCACAGUCUCUGGACGGUCUGUGAACAAACAGAAACUCAAAGUAAAAUCGCAGUAUCUGGAACCCUGCAUUAGCAGAGACCUCUCGUUUUUGGAAGACUCACACUCACUGCGGUAGUUUAAAUGUCUUCAGUAUUAAACACAGAAACAAAGUUCUUUGAUAACCAUCUUGAAAAUUAAAAAUUUGAGAAGGAAUCUAGGGAAGAAAGAAUGUGAUAAAGGAACAGUAGUAAAGUUGAGAAUGAAAAAAAAACCACUGCCUUUAAAAAAAUGCUAAUAAAACAGAUAACUCAGUUCAGAUGACUAUAAAAAAAGCAAAGCAAAAAAUAUUCAAGAUUUCAGGAUGAGAGGAGUUGUGAGUAGAGACAGAGGGUGAAAAAUGAGAAGAUUGCUGCCUGCAGCGUCACAGAGGCAGCCCUAGACCCGGGCAGCCGCUUAGCGGUAUACACACGUCACAGUUGGCUUCAGGGUCGAACACUGCAGUAAGCCAGUUUUCAGUUACAAAAGGCUGAAAAGAUAAUUGGAAACUUAGUAUACAAGAAGGGUGUAUAGAUGUCACCCGAACAGUAAAUCUUAUCUUUAAAGAACCAAUUAAUUCCAGUCUUUUUCAGGCAUCAGAGAUUGAAAGCUCCUUGUUCAGUUUAAAUC
rnacentral:lncRNA from 1 species